GCGGGCGUAGCUCAGUUGGUUAGAGCGCCAGGUUGUGGUCCUGGAUGUCGCCGGUUCGAACCCGGUCGCUCGCCCCA
rnacentral:tRNA from 1 species